rnacentral:rRNA from 1 species
GAUGAACGCUGGCGGCGUGCCUAAUACAUGCAAGUCGAGCGAACAGAUGAGGAGCUUGCUCCUCUGACGUUAGCGGCGGACGGGUGAGUAACACGUGGAUAACCUACCUAUAAGACUGGGAUAACUUCGGGAAACCGGAGCUAAUACCGGAUAAUAUAUUGAACCGCAUGGUUCAAUAGUGAAAGACGGUUUUGCUGUCACUUAUAGAUGGAUCCGCGCCGCAUUAGCUAGUUGGUAAGGUAACGGUUUACCAAGGCAACGAUGCGUAGCCGACCUGAGAGGGUGAUCGGCCACACUGGAACUGAGACACGGUCCAGACUCCUACGGAGGCAGCAGUAGGGAAUCUUCCGCAAUGGGCGAAAGCCUGACGGAGCAACGCCGCGUGAGUGAUGAAGGUCUUCGGAUCGUAAAACUCUGUUAUUAGGGAAGAACAAAUGUGUAAGUAACUAUGCACGUCUUGACGGUACCUAAUCAGAAAGCCACGGCUAACUACGUG